rnacentral:rRNA from 1 species
GUAGGGAAUAUUGGACAAUGGGGGCAACCCUGAUCCAGCGACGCCGCGUGAGUGAUGAAGGCCUUCGGGUCGUAAAGCUCUGUUGCAGGGGAAGAACACAAUGACGGUACCCUGCUAGAAAGGAUCGGCGAACUUCGUGCCAGCAGCCGCGGUAAGACGAGGGAUCCUAGCGUUGUUCGGAAUUAUUGGGCGUAAAGCGGGUGCAGGUGGCUUGGUAAGUCAGAUGUGAAAGCCUGGGACUUAACCCCAGAAGUGCAUUUGAUACUGCUGAGCUUGAGUGCUGGAGAGGCUAUUAGAAUUCCUGGUGUAGUGGUGAAAUACGUAGAUAUCAGGAGGAAUACCGGAGGCGAAGGCGGAUAGCUGGCCAGACACUGACACUCAGACCCGAAAGCGUGGGGAUCAAACAGGAUUAGAAACCCUGGUAGUCC